AUUGAACGCUGGCGGCAGGCUUAACACAUGCAAGUCGAGCGGGGAAGGUUGCUUCGGUAACUGACCUAGCGGCGGACGGGUGAGUAAUGCUUAGGAAUCUGCCUAUUAGUGGGGGACAACGUUCCGAAAGGAACGCUAAUACCGCAUACGCCCUACGGGGGAAAGCAGGGGAUCUUCGGACCUUGCGCUAAUAGAUGAGCCUAAGUCGGAUUAGCUAGUUGGUGGGGUAAAGGCCUAACAAGGCGACGAUCUGUAGCGGGUCUGAGAGGAUGAUCCGCCACACUGGGACUGAGACACGGCCCAGACUCCUACGGGAGGCAGCAGUGGGGAAUAUUGGACAAUGGGCGCAAGCCUGAUCCAGCCAUGCCGCGUGUGUGAAGAAGGCCUUUUGGUUGUAAAGCACUUUAAGCGAGGAGGAGGCUCCUUUAGUUAAUACCUAAAGUGAGUGGACAUUACUCGCAGAAUAAGCACCGGCUAACUCUGUGCCAGCCGCCGCCGUAA
rnacentral:rRNA from 1 species